GAGGAAAAGAAAUCAACCGAGAUUCCCCCAGUAGCGGCGAGCGAACGGGGAGCAGCCCAGAGCCUGAAUCAGUGUGUGUGUUAGUGGAAGCGUCUGGAAAGGCGCGCGAUACAGGGUGACAGCCCCGUACACAAAAAUGCACAUGCUGUGAGCUCGAUGAGUAGGGCGGGACACGUGGUAUCCUGUCUGAAUAUGGGGGGACCAUCCUCCAAGGCUAAAUACUCCUGACUGACCGAUAGUGAACCAGUACCGUGAGGGAAAGGCGAAAAGAACCCCGGCGAGGGGAGUGAAAAAGAACCUGAAACCGUGUACGUACAAGCAGUGGGAGCCUCUUUAUGGGGUGACUGCGUACCUUUUGUAUAAUGGGUCAGCGACUUAUAUUCUGUAGCAAGGUUAACCGAAUAGGGGAGCCGAAGGGAAACCGAGUCUUAACUGGGCGUUAAGUUGCAGGGUAUAGACCCGAAACCCGGUGAUCUAGCCAUGGGCAGGUUGAAGGUUGGGUAACACUAACUGGAGGACCGAACCGACUAAUGUUGAAAAAUUAGCGGAUGACUUGUGGCUGGGGGUGAAAGGCCAAUCAAACCGGGAGAUAGCUGGUUCUCCCCGAAAGCUAUUUAGGUAGCGCCUCGUGAAUUCAUCUCCGGGGGUAGAGCACUGUUUCGGCAAGGGGGUCAUCCCGACUUACCAACCCGAUGCAAACUGCGAAUACCGGAGAAUGUUAUCACGGGAGACACACGGCGGGUGCUAACGUCCGUCGUGAAGAGGGAAACAACCCAGACCGCCAGCUAAGGUCCCAAAGUCAUGGUUAAGUGGGAAACGAUGUGGGAAGGCCCAGACAGCCAGGAUGUUGGCUUAGAAGCAGCCAUCAUUUAAAGAAAGCGUAAUAGCUCACUGGUCGAGUCGGCCUGCGCGGAAGAUGUAACGGGGCUAAACCAUGCACCGAAGCUGCGGCAGCGACGCUUAUGCGUUGUUGGGUAGGGGAGCGUUCUGUAAGCCUGCGAAGGUGUGCUGUGAGGUAUGCUGGAGGUAUCAGAAGUGCGAAUGCUGACAUAAGUAACGAUAAAGCGGGUGAAAAGCCCGCUCGCCGGAAGACCAAGGGUUCCUGUCCAACGUUAAUCGGGGCAGGGUGAGUCGACCCCUAAGGCGAGGCCGAAAGGCGUAGUCGAUGGGAAACAGGUUAAUAUUCCUGUACUUGGUGUUACUGCGAAGGGGGGACGGAGAAGGCUAUGUUGGCCGGGCGACGGUUGUCCCGGUUUAAGCGUGUAGGCUGAUUUUCCAGGCAAAUCCGGAAAAUCAAGGCUGAGGCGUGAUGACGAGGCACUACGGUGCUGAAGCAACAAAUGCCCUGCUUCCAGGAAAAGCCUCUAAGCAUCAGGUAACAUCAAAUCGUACCCCAAACCGACACAGGUGGUCAGGUAGAGAAUACCAAGGCGCUUGAGAGAACUCGGGUGAAGGAACUAGGCAAAAUGGUGCCGUAACUUCGGGAGAAGGCACGCUGAUAUGUAGGUGAAGCGACUUGCUCGUGGAGCUGAAAUCAGUCGAAGAUACCAGCUGGCUGCAACUGUUUAUUAAAAACACAGCACUGUGCAAACACGAAAGUGGACGUAUACGGUGUGACGCCUGCCCGGUGCCGGAAGGUUAAUUGAUGGGGUUAGCGGUAACGCGAAGCUCUUGAUCGAAGCCCCGGUAAACGGCGGCCGUAACUAUAACGGUCCUAAGGUAGCGAAAUUCCUUGUCGGGUAAGUUCCGACCUGCACGAAUGGCGUAAUGAUGGCCAGGCUGUCUCCACCCGAGACUCAGUGAAAUUGAACUCGCUGUGAAGAUGCAGUGUACCCGCGGCAAGACGGAAAGACCCCGUGAACCUUUACUAUAGCUUGACACUGAACAUUGAGCCUUGAUGUGUAGGAUAGGUGGGAGGCUUUGAAGUGUGGACGCCAGUCUGCAUGGAGCCGGCCUUGAAAUACCACCCUUUAAUGUUUGAUGUUCUAACGUUGGCCCCUGAUCGGGGUUGCGGACAGUGUCUGGUGGGUAGUUUGACUGGGGCGGUCUCCUCCUAAAGAGUAACGGAGGAGCACGAAGGUUGGCUAAUCCUGGUCGGACAUCAGGAGGUUAGUGCAAUGGCAUAAGCCAGCUUGACUGCGAGCGUGACGGCGCGAGCAGGUGCGAAAGCAGGUCAUAGUGAUCCGGUGGUUCUGAAUGGAAGGGCCAUCGCUCAACGGAUAAAAGGUACUCCGGGGAUAACAGGCUGAUACCGCCCAAGAGUUCAUAUCGACGGCGGUGUUUGGCACCUCGAUGUCGGCUCAUCACAUCCUGGGGCUGAAGUAGGUCCCAAGGGUAUGGCUGUUCGCCAUUUAAAGUGGUACGCGAGCUGGGUUUAGAACGUCGUGAGACAGUUCGGUCCCUAUCUGCCGUGGGCGCUGGAGAACUGAGGGGGGCUGCUCCUAGUACGAGAGGACCGGAGUGGACGCAUCACUGGUGUUCGGGUUGUCAUGCCAAUGGCACUGCCCGGUAGCUAAAUGCGGAAGAGAUAAGUGCUGAAAGCAUCUAAGCACGAAACUUGCCCCGAGAUGAGUUCUCCCUGAGACUUAGAGUCUCCUGAAGGAACGUUGAAGACGACGACGUUGAUAGGCCGGGUGUGUAAGCGCAGCGAUGCGUUGAGCUAACCGGUACUAAUGAACCGUGAGGCUUAACCUUACAACGCCGAAG
rnacentral:rRNA from 1 species